GGAUGGAGACGGUGUCCGUCAAGUCAAGCUGGAGGCUUGGCGGAGGCCGAACACGCAUCGACAUCGGAAAGGUUGCGUGGUGGCAAAGCGAAGAUGGACGGUUUGGGCCUCAAAUCCACUAUGCAGGCAGGUUUUCCGGUUUGGGCUUCAAAACUGGGGGCGAGCCCAGUGCGAUCGGAGCUUCGAGAAGGAGGGCACAUGGCAUCAUCGUGAAGCUUGCGUCGAGGCGAAACAAAGUCGUGAAGGUGGCGUGUUCGUCCGAUGAG
rnacentral:lncRNA from 1 species